rnacentral:rRNA from 1 species
GAUGAACGCUGGCGGCGUGCUUAACACAUGCAAGUCGAACGGGAAGGCUCCUGCUUGCAGGGGUACUCGAGUGGCGAACGGGUGAGUAACACGUGGGUGAUCUGCCCUGCACUUCGGGAUAAGCCUGGGAAACUGGGUCUAAUACCGGAUAGGACGAUGGUUUGGAUGCCAUUGUGGAAAGUUUUUUCGGUGUGGGAUGAGCUCGCGGCCUAUCAGCUUGUUGGUGGGGUAAUGGCCUACCAAGGCGUCGACGGGUAGCCGGCCUGAGAGGGUGUACGGCCACAUUGGGACUGAGAUACGGCCCAGACUCCUACGGGAGGCAGCAGUGGGGAAUAUUGCACAAUGGGCGCAAGCCUGAUGCAGCGACGCCGCGUGGGGGAUGACGGCCUUCGGGUUGUAAACUCCUCUCGCUAGGGACGAAGCGCAAGUGACGGUACCUGGAGAAGAAGCACCGGCUAACUACGUG